rnacentral:rRNA from 1 species
UACGUAGGGGGCUAGCGUUGUCCGGAAUCAUUGGGCGUAAAGCGCGUGUAGGCGGUCCGGUAAGUCCGCUGUGAAAGUCGAGGGCUCAACCCUCGAAUGCCGGUGGAUACUGUCGGGCUAGAGUGCGGAAGAGGCGAGUGGAAUUCCUGGUGUAGCGGUGAAAUGCGCAGAUAUCAGGAGGAACACCGGUGGCGAAGGCGGGUCUCUGGGCAGUAACUGACGCUGAGGAGCGAAAGCGUGGGGAGCGAACAGG